rnacentral:lncRNA from 1 species
GGAAUAGUUCUGAUCUCAGACAUGACUCUUCACACCUAGGAGGUGGAUGCCAAGGAGAAGAAGAGCACCCCAAGAAAAGAUUCUCUAAAAUCAGAUUUGCCCCCCCUCCUUAUUUCCGCACACCCUACACUUUCUCACAAUAUUUUUAUGGCCUUUUUGUCUCCCAAAAAUUCAUAACCACCAGUGGUUAAGAGGAGCUCUCUUUAAAUAGUUGACAUGUCCAAGAUCUGAUCAUGUCCUAAUUGGUUUAGGUGUCCUAACCUUGUCCAAAGUAGGAAUCGGA